UACGAGGGGGGCAAGCGUUGUUCGGAAUUAUUGGGCGUAAAGGGCGCGUAGGCGGUGCGGUAAGUCACCUGUGAAAACUCUGGGCUCAACUCAGAGCCUGCAGGCGAAACUGCCGUGCUUGAGUGUGGGAGAGGUGCGUGGAAUUCCCGGUGUAGCGGUGAAAUGCGUAGAUAUCAGGAGGAACACCGAUGGCGAAGGCAGGUCUCUGGGCCACUACUGACGCUGAGAAGCGAAAGCAUGGGGAGCGAACAGG
rnacentral:rRNA from 1 species